GGAGGGGCUUUGGCUCAGUGGCAGAGCAUUUGCUUGGCAUGCAGGAGACACCCGGUUCGAACCUUGACAUCUCCA
rnacentral:tRNA from 1 species